rnacentral:lncRNA from 1 species
UGAGAACCAGCUGAAUGGCCACUGUCUUUCAGAAACCAAAAAAAAAGGAAGAAAGGAGACAUCGUAGACUUGGCAUCCCGAGACUCAGUUACAGCAGUGUGACCGUGAGUCACUUCUCUCUGGGGUUCCUGGUCUGUCCCCAAGCAGCUCCUCUGUUUUUCUCUUAGGAUGUCAACUUCUGGCACAUAAUUACUUCCAAAGAGUAAUACUAACUACUGAUGGCGUCACCUUUCAGGCACCUACCCAAACACCCCCUCCAUCUGCAAAGGCUACCAUGGUGCCCAAGUUGGAGCAGUUUGGAGACUGGCGAGCAUUUUACAUCUCUGCUAUCAUAACGGUGAUUGCACUUGAGCAUCCUGAUUUGCUUGUCUCCCAUCAGCAUCCUAUUUUGGGUAAUGAGGACAGAGACUCAUCUUACGCACUUCAUAACUCUGUGCGAGAAAUGGAAUGUG